AUCAGGUCCGAUGGUUGUCUCAGCUGAAACUUCCGUGAUGUUGAAGGCUGAUCCUCAUAAAGCUGUAGAGGUAAAACCCUUGAAGAAGCCCUUGCCACAGCCUGCUUCAAUUUCAACUGAGAAGUCCCUGUCUAAACAAGUAACUACUUCUGCCACAGCUGAAAGGUCCAUCUCUAGACAAGUGCCUGCCCAGUCGAGACCUUCGAGUGCUCCUCUAGUUACUGAUCCUAGACCUCCUUCCCCUGUUGUGUCCAUGGUUCAGGCAACACAGUUAUUGCCUCGUUCAGUUAGUGCAGCUGGUCGAUUGGGUCCUGAUCCUUCACCAGCAACACAUAGUUAUGUUCGUCAGUCCUAUAGAAAUGCAAUUAUGGGCGGUCUUAUUUCUGGAAGUCCGGUUGGUUUUAGUCAGCCUCAUUCUCCAAGUUUAGCCGUUAAUUCACCACAUCCAUACUCUCAAUCACCUUCACUGACUUCUGGUCUAAUGUUGUCGCCUGGGGGGCUGGAAAGAACAGAACAUAGAUCUGCUGGACCAAGCUUUUCUUAUGGAAUGGUGAAUGAGGAUACUUCAUGGAAUGGACAGAAAUGGGAGAGUUCUGGAAGUUAUAGUAGGUCAGUAUCACAUCCUUUCGUCUUACAUGACAUCCAGGAAUCUGAUAUGUUAAAGCCUGUUAACAGCAGGACCCAUGAUCAUCUUCCAUCUGAGCUUCCUGCCUGCACUUCUGGUUGUCAGUCCCAGAGUGUAUUGGCCGAUGAAUUUCCACAUCUUGAUAUAAUCAAUGACUUGCUGAACGAUGAGAAUGGAGCUGGAAAGGCUUCUGAACCAAACUCGGGCUGGCAAAGAUAUAGCAACCAUCUAAAUCGUCAGUUCAGUUAUCCGGGUGAUAUUAGCAUGGCAAGUGAUCUAGGUCCCUCAACUCACUCCUGUAGGUUUGAGCGAACAAGAAGCUAUCACGAUGAGCUACAACAUUACUAUUCUGGAGGCACUUAUAAUAGUAUUAGGAAUAUGAUUCCGCAGCCUAAUCCACAAUUUGUAAAUGGGCAGAUUGAUCAGUUAGUUCAUGACCAGUGGCAGUUGAUGCAUUCUGAUCCAUCUUUUCUUGGAAUGGGAAAUGGUCAUACUGAUACUGGUUACCUGUACCACAACCCUGAUUAUUCAAAUAUGGCAUGUGGUGUAAAUAGGUAUAGAGUAUUUAGGCCUUCCAAUGGGUUUUGAAAGCUAGCUCUUUAAUGAGGGAGCUUAGCCCCGAAACAUUUGACUCUUCUCUGCCGUAAUGUGUCUUUAGGUUUAGAGGCGAGGUUGUAGCCCUUGUGUAAAGAGUGAUUCUGCCCUCAUAUUUUUAAGCUUUUGAAAUCCACCGUAUUGGCUUUUGGAUGUUUUAAAAGUUGGUGUCUUCAUAUAUAUAAGCACAUUAUCGG
rnacentral:misc_RNA from 1 species